CAAUAGCGUAUAUUAAAGUUGUUGCAGUUAAAAAGCUCGUAGUUGAAUUUUUGCUUGCCGCCGAUGUCGGAACUUCCGUACGUUCGGCGGCGUGCAUCCUUGGGUGGAACCUGUGUGGCAUUAGGUUGUCGUGCAGGGGAUGCUCAUCGUUUACUGUGAAAAAAUUAGAGUGUUCAAAGCAGGCUUACGCCGUUGAAUAUAUUAGCAUGGAAUAAUAAGAUAGGACCUUGGUACUAUUUUGUUGGUUUGCGCACCGAGGUAAUGAUUAACAGGGACAGUUGGGGGUAUUCGUAUUCCAUUGUCAGAGGUGAAAUUCUUGGAUUUCUGGAAGACGAACUACUGCGAAAGCAUUUACCAAGGAUGUUUUCAUUAAU
rnacentral:rRNA from 1 species